AACGGACCCCUACUGAAUAGAUUACUAUCUAUGAUCCCUACUGAAUAGAUUACUAUCUAUGACCCCUACUGAAUAGAUUACUAUCUAUGAUCGCUAUUAGAUCUGUCUCGUGUAGACUAAGACUGCAUUGACGUAGUAAUUACUACUUAGUCACUGAGGGAAAAAAGGACCAAUGUUCUUUUAAAAGGGAACUUACAUUACGAUUCUACUAUUUGAGAUGCUGUUCAUCGGAAAGUACAUCAUUUGCAAACCAUACUACAGAAUUUAUUUAAUCAGUGAAGAGUACUAGUAGACGAUCGUUACAUUAAAAUGCAAGCAUUCCUCCAUUCCUGAAUAUCGCCAGACCCCAUGGACACAUUUUUACGAGAUGUUUAUUUAUCAUGGAUCAUAUACAGGACACCUGAGUCCAAAACAAACAGAUCAAAUCAUUGCUUUGUCCACAAACCAAAAACUCGUCUAUUUGCUUAUUGUGUUAAACACUAUCAAUGCUUCAAACUUCUGUCAUUACAUAUAAGGGCACAUGGACCACGUUUCACCUAUUCUGUGAUCAAACUACAUAUUGUUCUUGCACAAAAUAUGUAUUCGGAUUUAAAAAUAAAUCACAAAGUGAAUAGAGUUCGAGGUGUAUUCCAAUGACGGGUCCUGUUGACCCAGCGUAUAUAUUACCUUCUGUACACCAGGUGUCGCCAAGCUGGCGACUAUUUAUGACCUGUAGUUGAAGAUGGCAGCCCCAUUUUAUAGCUUUGAUAAGUAAGAUGGUAUUUACAGUUCAGAAAUAAACGUGCAU
rnacentral:misc_RNA from 1 species